rnacentral:rRNA from 1 species
AUUCGAAGCAACGCGAAGAACCUUACCUAAGCUUGACAUCCCAAUGACAUCUCCUUAAUCGGAGAGUUCCCUUCGGGGACAUUGGUGACAGGUGGUGCAUGGUUGUCGUCAGCUCGUGUCGUGAGAUGUUGGGUUAAGUCCCGCAACGAGCGCAACCCUUGUCUUUAGUUGCCAUCAUUAAGUUGGGCACUCUAGAGAGACUGCCAGGGAUAACCUGGAGGAAGGUGGGGAUGACGUCAAAUCAUCAUGCCCCUUAUGCUUAGGGCUACACACGUGCUACAAUGGGUAGUACAGAGGGUUGCCAAGCCGUAAGGUGGAGCUAAUCCCUUAAAGCUACUCUCAGUUCGGAUUGUAGGCUGAAACUCGCCUACAUGAAGCUGGAGUUACUAGUAAUCGCAGAUCAGAAUGCUGCGGUGAAUGCGUUCCCGGGUCUUGUACACACCGCCCGUCACACCACGGGAGUUGGAGACGCCCGAAGCCGAUUAUCUAACCUUUUGGAAGAAGUCGUCGAAGGUGGAAUCAAUAACUGGGGUGAAGUCGUAACAAGGUAGCCGUAUCGGAAGGUGCGGCUGGAUC